rnacentral:rRNA from 1 species
ACGAACGCUGGCGGCGUGCUUAACACAUGCAAGUCGAACGGAAAGGCCCCUUUGGGGGUACUCGAGUGGCGAACGGGUGAGUAACACGUGAGUAACCUGCCCUUGACUUCGGGAUAACUUCAGGAAACUGGGGCUAAUACCGGAUAGGAAUCCUUGCUGCAUGGUGGGGGUUGGAAAGCUUCGGCGGUUUUGGAUGGACUCGCGGCUUAUCAGCUUGUUGGUGGGGUAGUGGCUUACCAAGGCUUUGACGGGUAGCCGGCCUGAGAGGGCGACCGGCCACAUUGGGACUGAGAUACGGCCCAGACUCCUACGGGAGGCAGCAGUGGGGAAUAUAGCACAAUGGGCGGAAGCCUGAUGCAGCAACGCCGCGUGCGGGAUGACGGCCUUCGGGUUGUAAACCGCUUUCAGCAGGGGCGAAGCUUGUGGUGACGGUACCUGCAGAAGAAGCACCGGCUAACUACGUG